GAGAGUGCAGGCGGUUUUCUAAGUCUGAUGUGAAAGACCUUCGGCUUAACCGGAGAAGUGCAUCGGAAACUGGAUAACUUGAGUGCAGAAGAGGGUAGUGGAACUCCAUGUGUAGCGGUGGAAUGCGUAGAUAUAUGGAAGGAACACCAGUGGCGAAGGCGGCUACCUGGUCUGCAACUGACGCUGAGACUCGAAAGCAUGGGUAGCGAACAGGAUUAGAUACCCUGGUAG
rnacentral:rRNA from 1 species